rnacentral:lncRNA from 1 species
UGCUGUGCCACUUCAUGAAUCCUCAAGAUGAAGCUGUGAGCUAAGUGGUCCUGUUAUCCCCAUUUACAGAUGUGCAAAGGGAAGAAGCAAGAGAUGGAGCUGUGAAGCAGGCAUUAGAAUCCUGGAACUCUGACUUCAAGUUUCCAUCCCCAUCACCACCAUCACCAUCACCAUCACCAUCACCAUCAUCACCAUCACCAUCACCAUCACCAUCACCAUCACCAUCAUCACUAUGAUCAUCAUCACAUUUUGGUUUUUGGGACUGAACCCAGGGGCACUUUACCAUUGAGCCACAUCCCCAGCCCUUUUCAAUUUUUAUUUUGAAAGAGGGUGUUGUGACUUUGCUCAAGGCCUCUUUUAUUGCUGAGGCUGGCCUUGAACUUGUCAUCCUUGGACCUCAGUCUCCCAAGGCACUGGGAUUACAGGCACAUGCCACUGUGACAAAACUAUUUUUUUUGUAAUUGAGGCAAAAAUAACAUGACAUAAAAUGAACCAUUUUAAAGCAAACAAUUCAAUGACAUUUAGUGCAUUCACAAUGUUGUGCAACCAGCUCUAUCUAGUUGCAAAACAUUUUCAUAACCUCAAAAGGAGACCUUUUGUGUCCACUAAGCAGUUGGUAUCCAUUUCCUCCUCCACUUCCUGGAACUCACCAAUUUAAUUUCUGUUUCCAUUGUUUUACCUCCUCUGGACAUUUCCUAAUGUUGGAAUCAUACAAUAUGUGAUCAUUCAUGUCGGGCUCUCUCAUGUAGCAUCAUGUUCUUGAGAUUCAUCCAUGCUGGAGUGGACCUCCAUGUUCAGUCCUUUUAUGGCUGAGUGAUACUCCACCAUAUGGGUAGGUCACAUUGUGCUGAUCCGUUCAUCAGUUUAUGGGCUUUUGGUUUUUCUUCACCUUCUGGCUGUUACAAAGGGGUUUAAAAUUUACCCAUUGUUCUCUAUUGUUUCCCUCAGACAAUUUAGACAGUCUGUAGAUCCUGUAAAUAAAGCUAUGGAGAAGAGAUGAAUGAGAUCCAAGAGGCAGAAGUUCUAGAAUUUUCCCAGGGUGGUGGGAAGGACUUGGAGAAGGCUCAUGCUGGAGAGACCUUUGUCAUUGGGUCUUGAGGCUCUUUAUACAGUACCAGAGAGCUCCCAGGCCCAGGGAAGCAGGAGGACGGGAAGACUCACCAGAUCAGGAAGAGGCUCAGUGGCCCCUUAGAGAAACAGGCAGAGAGGACCUCAACUGGGUCAUGAGAGAUUGGAGGAUGAAAGGGUGAGACUGUUCCACAAGAUCCUGUGAGUGACAGGCCUAGGAUCACGUUCAGUGGUAAAUCAGAGCUGGAUGCAGAGAACAAUUUUCCUCUACCCCACCGGCCUAUAUAUAGGACAGAGUGCACAUGCCACUCUCACCUCCUCAUGUGGCGAUGUCCUGAGGUGAUCUCAGAUUUCAACAAGGGCAUCUGGGUGAGGGAUUUAUAGUCACUGUCUGUACCAUCUCAGCAACUUUUCUGUAAAUAUUAAAUUCCUCCAAAAUUAAAAAUUUAUUUAAAAAUAAGAAAGGGUUGGGGAUGUGGCUCAGGGGUAGGGCACUUGUUUAGCCUGUAUGAGACCUGGGGCUCUGUCCUC